AUUUCAUAAACGCCUUUUGGUGCCCCAUCAGGGGAGAAUAGGGAAGUCAGGUGCAAGUCCUGCGCGGUCCCGCCGCUGUAACCGGAGAGCCGAUAAAACCACUGCUUUUUGCGGGAAGGUUUUAUCAAAGGGCAAUGACCCGGAAGCCAGAAGACCUGCCAAAAGGUGGAGCUUUAG
rnacentral:ncRNA from 2 species